AAGAUGGCUGCUGGUGAUCCAACAAGAACGCCGACGUGUCUAGCGUAGGCAGACAUCCAGGCACAACACCGUUGGGCAACCCGCUACCCGGUCUUUGAGGUUCUGGCUUCAGAAUCGGACUCAGAGACAUCUGUCCAUUACCAAAUCUGACUCCGGUCACCUGCUGCACCAUCUGCCUGAAAUUGGCCGGAUCCGCUGUUAUAAAGGUAGUUUGAGAGCGCUUUGAGGCGCGGGACUUGCGUUUAGAGACUUUCCCAGUGGGAGGAGGGUUGGCAGUUCGCUGGCGUUUCGGUGCGGUUUCAAGGUCGGAGCCCGAAACGUUUGACG
rnacentral:lncRNA from 1 species